rnacentral:rRNA from 1 species
UGGGGAAUAUUGCACAAUGGGCGCAAGCCUGAUGCAGCCAUGCCGCGUGUGUGAAGAAGGCCUUCGGGUUGUAAAGCACUUUCAGCGAGGAGGAAGGUGGUGAGCUUAAUACGCUCAUCAAUUGACGUUACUCGCAGAAGAAGCACCGGCUAACUCCGUGCCAGCAGCCGCGGUAAUACGGAGGGUGCAAGCGUUAAUCGGAAUUACUGGGCGUAAAGCGCACGCAGGCGGUUUGUUAAGUCAGAUGUGAAAUCCCCGGGCUCAACCUGGGAACUGCAUUUGAAACUGGCAAGCUAGAGUCUCGUAGAGGGGGGUAGAAUUCCAGGUGUAGCGGUGAAAUGCGUAGAGAUCUGGAGGAAUACCGGUGGCGAAGGCGGCCCCCCUGGACGAAGACUGACGCUCAGGUGCGAAAAGCGUGGGGCAGCAAACAGGAUUAGAUACCCUGGUAGUCCACGCUGUAAAACGAUGUCGAUUUUGGAGGUUGUGCCCCUUGAGGCGUGGCUUCCGGAGCUAACGCGUUAAAUCGACCGCCU